rnacentral:rRNA from 1 species
AGUGAACGCUGGCGGUAGGCCUAACACAUGCAAGUCGAACGGCAGCACAGUAAGAGCUUGCUCUUACGGGUGGCGAGUGGCGGACGAGUGAGGAAUACAUCGGACUCUACUUUUUCGUGGGGGAUAACGUAGGGAAACUUACGCUAAUACCGCAUACGACCUACGGGUGAAAGCAGGGGAUCUUCGGACCUUGCGCGAUUGAAUGAGCCGAUGUCGGAUUAGCUAGUUGGCGGGGUAAAGGCCCACCAAGGCGACGAUCCGUAGCUGGUCUGAGAGGAUGAGCAGCCACACUGGAACUGAGACACGGUCCAGACUCCUACGGGAGGCAGCAGUGGGGAAUAUUGGACAAUGGGCGCAAGCCUGAUCCAGCCAUACCGCGUGGGUGAAGAAGGCCUUCGGGUUGUAAAGCCCUUUUGUUGGGAAAGAAAAGCAGCAGGUUAAUACCCCGCUGUUCUGACGGUACCCAAAGAAUAAGCACCGGCUAACUUCGUG